rnacentral:lncRNA from 1 species
UGCUUUCCCGUUGUGUGAUCAUUUUUUUGUGUCAGCAAUAAGAAGAAAAUAUUAAGAAGACAAAGACAAUGCAAAUAUGGUGACCAGGCAAACUGGACUUUUCCUCUCCACACAUUUAGCCCUUUUCAGUGGUGAACCAUGUAUAUAUUACACCUAUUGCUUAUUCUUAAAUAUUUUUAGAAUACAAGUCUGGCACCAACCUUUUGUUUUCAGCUUCGUGCUUCAAGUUAACAGUGCAAUGACCCUAGAACUGCCAUCAUUGUCAAGAUUGUGCCAGCUGCAUAUGUAGCACUAUCUGCUUGGAAGCCCAACAGCAGCCCAACACAAUUCCCAGAUGACCAGGUGGAAUGUAAGGGUUCACAUGAUGAAAACUAGGUUGAAACCCUGCACUUUAUCUUUGGUAGAAAAGGUGACUUUAUACUGUAAACUGCCCUACGAUCCUUGGAUGAAGGGCAGUAUAGAAAUUUAACAAAUAAAUAAAAUAAAAGCUGUCUUGCCUUGGGAAAGGGGCAGUUCUCUGCCUAAUCAGGAACAUUGGUGAACAACAAGAAUAACCAGGAAGGUCGUAUCAGAAAGUGUAGCCAAGCAGAGGAACCAAGAUGAGGUGAAUUCAUAGUUCAAAGGCCAAGACAAGAUCAGUGCAAAUAAGGCUGUUUUAGCAGGCAGAGUGGAAGGAGUACUUGGAGCCAAGUUGAAGAAACAGUUGAGAAACAGGGAUUACGUGAAAUACUGAACUCAUGCGCCAAAAUAUUUUGCUGAAAUCAAAAAAGCUUGGUUCUAACCAGUGCUCUUUUUUUUCUAAAUAAAUGUUAUGGGGUACUCUCAUUUUCCUACUCAUAUUGACAUACCGCCCCUCAAUGAGUCCAAAAUUAGAUUCACAAAAUGUUUAGGGGUAUGCAUACCCCCAGAAAAAAGCACUGGGACUAACAAAUGAAUUUGUGUAACAUCAGUUCAUUCUGGUAUUCAAAACUAAUUACUGGGCUCAAAACUAUUUAAUUAAGUGUAUAUCUUUGCACCUGAUUCCAGCUGAUGGAUCUCACUGGUCCUAGGUUUUCUUUUAUUUUUUUCUAGAUGAUUUACUGGCUGCCUUGGAGAGAAUGAUUAAAACUUUGAAGCUGACUUAGUGUUCUUUCAAAUGUAUUCAUGUGUUUAUGCUCAUAUGGUGCAUGUUAUUCAGAAAUAAUUGUUAUAUUCUUAGGUUUAUUUAGGCUAGUAAUGGCAGACUGCUUCUGAAUUAUAGUUUGUGAGUUGAAUUUUAAUGGCUUCCUUUGCAAUUUCUUGGGAAUAGAGGAUGCAUUACCUUAGGGUGGGUUUCCCUAAGUAAUUAUGUUCUAUUGUUUAACAUGCCAUCUAAAUUGACCAACCAUUGUUUGCUAUUUGCUAGAAAACCAGAAUCAGAAACCAUAGUUUGAAACAGUUUUGCAAACUAUAGUUUGUGCUAUGUGCAGUAUCCAACAUUCCUGUUCUGGGAGGCAAGUGACUUCCACUUGCGCAUGCACUUCCUCUCCUCUCCCCUGCUGCCCCACACAUGCCCUCAAAAGCAGCAGCAGUUGAGUUAGAGGUAAAAAGUAGAAUUCCC